rnacentral:rRNA from 1 species
AAUGCGGUUCUACUGGCAGAUAAUGGUCAUUGCACUGUUGGUAAUUCAAUUGUCCAAAAGCUUAAAAUUAUAUUAUUGAAAUUUCGAACCGGAGAUAAUGAUUGAAAGGAACAGACGGGGGCAUUCGUAUUGCUGCGUUAGAGGUGAAAUUCUUGGAUCGCAGCAAGAUGAACAAUUGCGAAAGCAUUUGCCAAGAAUGUUUUCAUUAAUCAAGAACGAAAGUUAGAGGUUCGAAGGCGAUCAGAUACCGCCCUAGUUCUAACGGUAAACUAUGCCAACCAGCGAUUCGCCGAAGUUCAUUUGUUGAAUGAAUUGUUGACGUAUUGUGAAACAUUGUUGCACCAUGAAUUUGGGGCAAAAUAUGCGAAUUGCAUUGAUGAUGAAAUUAAAGUUUUAAUCGACAAGCACGCCAAACUUAUGGAACAGUAUGAAAAUUUCCAAGAAGAAAAGGGUCGUCUGUUUGAAAUACGUCACAUUUGCGACGUUUUGAACGCGCGACUGUUUGAGUUGUAUGAAUCUGUGAAAGAAGCAAGAAGAGAAAAGUUCCACGCGGGUGUUCGUACUCCGGUGAACAAAGACAGCGAUUCGCCGAAGUUCAUUUAAGACUCGGCGAGCAGCUUCCGGGAAACCAAAGUGUUUCGGUUCCGGGGGAAGUAUGGUUGCAAAGCUGAAACUUAAAGGAAUUGACGGAAGGGCACCACCAGGAGUGGAGCCUGCGGCUUAAUUUGACUCAACACGGGAAAACUCACCCGGCCCGGACACUGGAAGGAUUGACAGAUUGACAGCUCUUUCUUGAUUCAGUGGGUAGUGGUGCAUGGCCGUUCUUAGUUGGUGGAGCGAUUUGUCUGGUUAAUUCCGAUAACGAACGAGACUCUACCCUAUUAAAUAGUGACAGUAUUGUAUUUUUUCAAAUUGAAAGCUGCACGAAAAAGAGCAAUAACAGGUCUGUGAUGCCCUUCGAUGUCCGGGGCUGCACGCGCGCUACAAUGAAAGCGUCAACGUGAGUUACGUCCUUACCUGAAAAGGUUUGGCAAUCGAAUGAAACGUUUUCUUGAAUGGAAUAGGGAAUUGCAAUUGUUUCCCUUGAACGAGGAAUUCCCAGUAAGCGUGAGUCAUUAGCUCGCGUUGAUUACGUCCCUGCCCUUUGUACACACCGCCCGUCGCUACUACCGAUUGGAUGAUUUAGUGAGGUGUUUUGACUGGCGCCAGUAGUCGGAUAUGUAUUCGGCUUCGCGCCGGGAAAUUUCCCAAACCAAAUCAUCUAGAGGAAGUAAAAGUCGUAACAAGGUUUCCGUAGGUGAACCUGCGGAAG